rnacentral:rRNA from 1 species
GACGAACGCUGGCGGCGUGCUUAACACAUGCAAGUCGAACGAUGAAACCUAGCUUGCUAGGUCGAUUGGUGGCGAACGGGUGAGUAACACGUGACUACCCUACCCCUUUCUCUGGGAUAACGCUCCGAAAGGAGUGCUAAUACCGGAUACUCACACCGAGGCACAUGCCUUGGUGUGGAACGUUUUUCGGAAAGGGAUGGAGUCGCGGCCUAUCAGCUUGUUGGUGAGGUAACGGCUCACCAAGGCGACGACGGGUAGCCGGCCUGAGAGGGGGACCGGCCACACUGGGACUGAGACACGGCCCAGACUCCUACGGGAGGCAGCAGUGGGGAAUAUUGCACAAUGGGCGCAAGCCUGAUGCAGCGACGCCGCGUGAGGGAUGAAGGUCUUCGGAUUGUAAACCUCUUUCAGUAGGGACGAAGCGAAAGUGACGGUACCUAAAGAAGAAGCACCGGCUAACUACGUGCCAGCCGCCGCGGUAA